UACGGAGGGGGCUAGCGUUGUUCGGAAUUACUGGGCGUAAAGCGCGCGUAGGCGGACCUGCAAGUCGGGGGUGAAAGCCCGAGGCUCAACCUCGGAACUGCCUUUGAUACUGGGGAUCUCGAGUCCGGAAGAGGUGAGUGGAACUGCGAGUGUAGAGGUGAAAUUCGUAGAUAUUCGCAAGAACACCAGUGGCGAAGGCGGCUCACUGGUCCGGUACUGACGCUGAGGUGCGAAAGCGUGGGGAGCAAACAGGG
rnacentral:rRNA from 1 species